GUCUAUGGCCAUGCCAGCCUGAACAAGCCCAAUGUCUGAUCUCAGAAGCUAAGAAGGGUUAAGCCUAGUUGGUACUUGGGUGGGAGACCACCUAGGAAGACUAGGUGCUGUAGGCA
rnacentral:rRNA from 1 species